AAAGCAAGUUAAAAUUCACAUAAAAGUGACAUAGCUUAAUCUGUCAUUUUAACCUUUGUCUAGAUGCAUUAUAAUUCUAGACACAAUAGCGACAUUGUGUCUAGAUGCUGUGAAAUGCAUUACACCUUUCGUGUAGACAACACCUUUCGUGUACACAGUGAGCAAGGUCUGUGCAAGACCAGUUAGUCAGCAAAGUCUGUGCUAGACCUUACGUGUAGACAGUGACUGAGGUCUGUGCAAGACCAGUUAGGCAGUGAGGUGUGCAACACCAGUAAGCUCUUACUAAAAAGCUAAAAUAAGCGGUUGUUUUAUCAACCAAAUGGCUUAUGAAAACAAGCCCAGUACAAUUAUUUAAA
rnacentral:lncRNA from 1 species